rnacentral:lncRNA from 1 species
GGUAGGAGUCUGAGGACACAACAGAGAGGAAGACCACUAGAAGGAACGUGAGAGAUGACAUUUUGAAAACAAGGCUGUCGUCUUAUGCAGAGCUUCCAACCUACCUGGAGAGAUGGUCUAUAGAAUACAAGGACAAAGAGUCACCAAAAGAAGACAGAAGAUGAGUUCAUAUUGCUUUCUAGUAUUUUGAUGCUCUUCUGUGGUUCUGCCAAGCCAUAUUACCUGGUAAAAAGUAUCCUUGGAAAUCAACCAGCUUCUUGCAAGAUGGAUGGAGCUAUUCCUUAUGUGUCUAACACCAGCCUAGCUCCUGCUUCCUGGAGAAUCUCUCUGCCAAGGCCAGAUGUCAGCUCAUCUCUGGGGCAUUGCUCUUACAGGACACUGUUCUUCUGCUUUAUCUCUGAGGCAAGGAACACGGGCCAUGAGCCUCUGGUAUGUCAAUUCUACCUGGACAGUCUUUCCUUCUCACCAGAGAAAAUAAAUCUCCUCCCAAAAGAUAAGCACAAG